rnacentral:misc_RNA from 1 species
UGAUGCUCUUAUUCAGAAAACCAUACGCGAAGAAUUUAAGUCAUGCACCAUGCUCAUUAUUGCUCACCGUUUGAACACUAUCAUAGACUGUGACAGAAUUCUUCUGCUUGAUUCUGGUCAGGUACUUGAAUAUGAUACUCCGGAAGUAUUAUUAGAAAAGGAGGAAAGUGCUUUUUCUAGGAUGGUUCAGAGUACAGGAGCUGCAAAUGCUGAAUACUUACGAAGCUUAGUCAUAGGAGGGGGAGAGGGAAACAGUGUAGUGAAGGAUAAACAGCUAGAUGGGAAAAGGAGGUGGCUUGCCUCUUCACGUUGGAGUGCUGCAGCACAGUAUGCAAUAUCUUUUACACUUUCUUCAUCCCAAAAUGACCUAGUGAAUUCAGAAAUUGUGGACGAGGAUAAUAUCCUGAAGAAAACAAAGAAUGCUGUAAUCACUCUGCAGGGAGUAUUAGAGGGUAAGCAUGACAAAGAAAUCGAAGAGACCCUGGAGCAGUACCAGGUUUCCAGAGACAGAUGGUGGUCUUCAUUUUACAGGAUGGUUGAAGGUCUCUCGGUGAUGAGUAAGCUGACUCGCAAGAGAUUUCAUCCAGAAUAUCGUGCAGAAGAUCCUAACAUUGAAGAAAGAACAAUUCACUGGGAUCGCGCUGAGAUGUAGAAGCCUUUCAGUCUGUACCGGAUUAUGGAAUGGUAGUUCUUUUACUUGUUGACAUGAUACAUGGAUAAUUACUGUGCCCUUUUAACACAGUUGUAACAUUGUUAUAUUAUCCCAUAAAAUUUUAUAGCUA